UCUCUCACACACACACACACACACACACACACACACACACACACACACACACACACACACACGCAGAAAAACAUUCUCAUUCUGCUCUCUUUCAUCUCCCUCAAUAUGAUGAUGUCAUGGGUGUCCGUGUUAUUGAAAGGCCACCUGUGGGUUGAUCAUGGGUAUUAAGAGACAGCCCUCUUUCUCCUCCCCAUUUGUAAAAGGAGCCCCGGCUUUUGUCUGGACACCUCAUAUAAAGAGAGGCUUUUGUCAUUUUCCUGUACAUUGCCCAGGAUGAUCAGCAUGUAUGCUGACAGGGGUAUUAAAAAGGGUGACAAAAAGUGAAAAGGGAAAAAGACAGAGAGAAAAUCUCUUGCCUUGAUGUCACUCACUUUUAAGUCAAGCCUCCUUGGUGAUACUGAAAUUCUUUUCCUUACCAUAAAUACUCUAAACUGCAUUAUCUAGCUACACUGUAGAAACAGUCCUCACACAAAGGGUGAUAAAGAAGAAAAAGAGAAGCAGAACAGAAAAGGUGAAAAUGUUGCAUUCCAGUGAAGGCAGGUAUCUCUACACAACAUGUAAAUUAAACCAAAGAAACUGGACUGGAGAAGCCUUCUCAGCAAACAAGAAAGAAGAUUUUGAAGCCAGAGUUAACUACUAGUAACGGUGUGGUUCAUGAAAAGAAGCUUGAGUUUUGCUUUUGACUUCCAAUAUUCUGAGAAAAUUAUCUCAACCUCUGCACCACUGACCAUAUGUCUGUGGUAGUGAGAUGUAUUCCAUACAGUCUGUCCAGGAAUCCAAAACCAUAGCAUGACCUUCAACACUGGGCAAUUGACUCUCCUAGAAUGUUCGAGAAACAUUCAGAAAUAAAGGCAUUUUCCCAGUUCUGCUUUGGUCCAGCUGACGCUCGGCUACCAUUGGAUUAAAAGGUUGGGAAAAUGCUCUAAAAUGCACCUCAGAACAACUAUAACCCUAUGGCUUUUUGGGACAAGGCUUACUAUGCUGACUUCUCCAGAAAAAAAGUGACAUUCUGGAAAAGCAAGAAGACACUGCAUCCUCCUUUCUCAAGAUUCUUACCAGGAAGGAAGAGGAAGAGCAGUCCAGACAUUUGAUGCUAUACAGAAGCUUUUGCUAUCAUCCUUGCACAUAGCAGAUGACCAGGCAGUUUAGUUUGUGAAGAUUAUCUGUGCAAGUGAGAUGGUGUCGUGCUUUAGAAUGUGAGUCGCUAUCACUGACAUUUAGUGUGGAACCUAAAGAAGGCUCUGUACAUUCCGUGUAGCAGUGAGACAUGAAGAAGGAUGUUAUAACUACUCAGGCAAACAAAAGGAAAAGCAGAUAUGCAAGUGGAAAGAUUCAUCUCUCAAAUAGUUUAAUUAUUCUUCCUAUGUCCUUGUUAAUGAGGAGCAAUAAAUAAAGAAAAAUGUCCACCAAGAAGACAUAAAAAACAUUACUUUGUUACUAGCUCACUGAAAUUAAAGUAACAUCAUAUUUUUUAAGAGACAUUGAUUUAUUCAUCCUUUACUCAAUCAAAAUCAAUAAAGAGAAGAAUCAUGACAUAA